AACGUAGGAGGCAAGCGUUAUCCGGAUUUACUGGGCGUAAAGGGCGUGCAGGUGGUUUGCUAAGUGGUGCGUGAAAGCGCUCGGCUCAACCGGGCGAGGCCGUGCCAAACUGGCAGACUAGAAACAGGCAGAGGAAAGUGGAAUUCGGGGUGUAGUGGUGAAAUGCGCAGAUAUCGGGAGGAACACCAGUGGCGAAGGCGGCACUCUGGGCCAGUACUGACACUGAGGAGCGAAAGCGUGGGGAGCGAACAGG
rnacentral:rRNA from 1 species